rnacentral:rRNA from 1 species
UACGUAGGGUGCAAGCGUUGUCCGGAAUUAUUGGGCGUAAAGAGCUCGUAGGCGGUCUGUCGCGUCUGCUGUGAAAACUCAGGGCUUAACCCUGAGCUUGCAGUGGGUACGGGCAGACUAGAGUGCGGUAGGGGAGACUGGAAUUCCUGGGUGUAGCGGUGAAAUGCGCAGAUAUCAGGAGGAACACCGGUGGCGAAGGCGGGUCUCUGGGCCGUAACUGACGCU